UUGGGCUAGCACCGCUCUACAGCUGC
rnacentral:piRNA from 1 species